GUUACAAUAAGGGCAAAUGGUGGAUGCCUCGACAUCAAAAGACGAUGAAGGACGUAGCAGCCUGCGAUAAGCUUCGGUGAGGUGGCAAGCAACCUUUGAACCGGAGAUUUCCGAAUGGGGUAACCCGUCCCGCUAAGCGGGACAUCAUUAACUGAAUUCAUAGGUUAAUGAAGAAGACCUGGGGAAUUGAAACAUCUUAGUACCCAGAGGAAAGUAAAGAAAUAAUGUUAGUUUUUAGUUCUCGGCCGCUUAUUUGGCGGUUUGAGAACUAAUAACUAAUCUCGAUUCCCUUAGUAGUGGCGAACGAAAGGGGAAGAGCCCAAACCAUUUUAGUGUAAUCAAUCUGAUGUCAACUUCGGUUGAAUAGGAGAGAUGAAAGGUGUAAGCCGUUGCUAAUUUGGUGUAGUGAGAGUCUAUAAACGGAGCUUACGAUCCGUAACAGAGAAAAUUUACGAUUACUUCCCUAACAGAAGCUGCUGGAAAGCAGCACCACAGAAGGUGAUAGUCCUGUACGUAAAAGGGGUGAUCGCUCUGUAUAGGUUUCUCGAGUACCUCAGGACACGUGAAAUCCUGAGGGAAUCAAGCGCGACUAUGCGCUAAGGCUAAAUACUUUUGAUGAUCGAUAGCGAACCAGUACCGUGAGGGAAAGGUGAAAAGCACCCCGGUGAGGGGAAUGAAAUAGUAUCUGAAACCAUUUGCUUACAAAGAGUCAGAGCCCUGAAGUAUUUUACUUCGGGGUGAUGGCGUUCCUAUUGAAGAAUGAACCAACGAGUGUGCUAUAUGUUGCUUAAUCUAACUCUUACGAGAGGAAGGUGUAGCGAAAGCAAGUCUUAACCGGCGUCUUUAGUUAAUUGUCCUUCGCUCACAUUGGUGAGCCUCGGACAAUUUUCUAAACGGCAGCAUAUACACGACCCGAAACCAGGUGAUCUAUCCAUGGCCAGGGUGAAGUUAGUCGAAAGACUGAUGGAGGCCCGAACCCACUCGCCGUGCAACACGAGGGGAUGAGUUGUGGAUGGCGGAGAAAUUCUAAUCGAACCUGGCAAUAGCUGGUUCUACCCGAAACAGUUUUUGGACUGGCCUUAAGUGUUCCUUAUUGGCGGUAGAGCACUGAAUGGGAUAAGGUGGGAAACCUUACUUAUCCUAAUCAAACUCCGAAUGCUGAUAAGCUAAGCUUGAGAGUUAGACUAUGGGGGCUAAGCUCCAUUAGUCAAAAGGGAAACAGCCCAGAUCUCUAUCUAAGGUCCCUAAAUCUAAGUUAAGUGUAAAAGGUGGUGAAGGUUUAAAUACAACUAGGAGGUUGGCUUAGAAGCAGCCAUCCUUUAAAGAAAGCGUAACAGCUCACUAGUCAAAAACUUUCGCGCCGAUAAUGUAACGGGGCUAAACUUAGUACCGAAGAUGAGGGUCCCGCCUAUGGCGGGGCGGUAGGGUAGCAUUCUAUAUUCGUCGAAGUUCAAGACGCGAGUCUGGGUGGAGAAUAUAGAAGAGAGAAUGUUGGUAUAAGUAGCAAAAAUCCAGGUGGGAAUCCUGGACACCGAAAAUUCAAGGUUUCCUGGGCAACGCGAAUCGACCCAGGGUUAGGCGGUCCUAAGCCGAGGCCGAAAGGCGUAGGCGAUGGAUGAACAGGUUAAUAUUCCUGUCCUGCUUUUAUUUUCCGACGGAGUGACGUUAGCUCAAUUUUUAGGCGCACGUAUGGUUAUGGCGUUGGCUUACUUUGGAUUCUUUCUUGGCAAAUCCGGAAAGAAUAAGUCUGAGGUAAGCGAAAAGACUGUGGCUUCGGUCAAAGUCAAUCUAAAAGAAGAGUUAACCCAGAAAACCUUCUAGGGUUAAGAUAAAAGCAUCCGUACCGCAAACCGACACAGGUAGAUGAGGCGAGUAGCCUCAGGUGUACGAGAGAACCCUCGUUAAGGAACUCGGCAAAACAACGGCCGUAAGUUCGCAAUAAGGCCUUCCUGAAGUAGGCGCGCAAGCGCUGAACUUCAGGACGCAGUAAAAGACUCCUAGCGACUGUUUACCAAAAACACAGGUCCCUGCUAAAUCUGUAAAGAGAUGUAUAGGGGCUGAUGCCUGGCCAGUGUCAGAACGUUAAGGCGAGAGGUGCAAGCCUUGAACCGAAGCGCUGAUGAACGCCGGCGAUAACUAUAAUCGUCCUAAGGUAGCGAAAUUCCUUGUCGGGUAAGUUCCGACCUGCAUGAAUGGCGUAACGACUGGGAGACUGUCUCAACGAGGGACUCGGCGAAAUUGCAAGAUGAGUAAAGAUGCUCAUUACCCGUAGCUGGACGAAAAGACCCCGUGAAGCUUUACUACAACUUGGUAUUGAAUUAGGGGUAUUUAUGUUCAGAAUAGGUGGAAGACUUUGAAGCUGCGCCGUCAGGCGUAGUGGAGUCGCAAUAUGAGAUACCACCCUUAACUGCUUUUAAUUCUAAUCCCGAUCCCUUGAAUCAGGGCGGGAGACAGUAUCUGGUGGGUAGUUUAACUGGGGCGGUUGCCUCCCAAAAUGUAACGGAGGCGUUUACAAAGGUUGGCUAACUCCCGAUGGAAACGGGAGCGGUCGUGCAAACGCAUAAGCCAGCUUUACUGCUAGGGUGACAACCCGAGCAGUUGCGAAAGCAGAAGUUAGUGAUCCGACCGUUUAUGCUAUAUCCAUUCAUCAUCCUUUGGGUGAUAAGUGGUUAUGGCUUCGAUAUAGGACGGCGGAAGCUCAUCGGAUAAAAGUUACUCCGGGGAUAACAGGCUGAUCUCCUCCAAUAGUCCACAUAGACGAGGAGGUUUGGCACCUCGAUGUCGGCUCAUCGCAUCCUGGGGGUGAAGAAGCUCCCAAGGGUUUGGCUGUUCGCCAAUUAAAGCGGUACGCGAGCUGGGUUCAGAACGUCGUGAGACAGUUCGGUCUCCUAUCCGCUACGGGCGCGGAAUCUUGCGCAGGCCCUUCCCUAGUACGAGAGGACCGGGAAGGACGAACCUCUAUUUUACCGGUUGUGGUACCAACUGCAUUGCCGGGUAGCUAUGUUCGGUUUGGAUAAACGCUGAAAGCAUAUAAGCGUGAAGCCGUCUGCAAGAUCAGGAUUCGUAUUCUAAGACUCCUCAGAGAUGAUGAGGUUGAUAGGCUGUAGGUCUAAGUGCAGUAAUGCAUUGAGCCAAGCAGUACUAAUAAGUCGAGUAACCAC
rnacentral:rRNA from 2 species